AUGUGCUUGGAGUUCGAUUCGUGCUUCGGUGGCCGCAGACGGGACGACUACGGCCGCAGCAGAGGGAACGACGGUCACGGCUACUGGUUGGAGCCAGCGCCGGAGUACCGGCAGCCGCCCAUCGUUGCCGUCCACGAGGCCGGGCACAAGGCCUACCACGACGGCGCACCGAAAGCCCAGCAUGACGACGCCGGCAGCCACGGCAGGUACGCCUACUGGCAAGACAAGGCUGGCAACGAGACGCCGCAGGAGCUUCCCGCGUGGCACCGCAAGGUCGGCCACAACGCCGGCUAUGGCUCAUAUACGCCGCGCGUCCACGAAGCAGCUGCUGAUCCUAGGGAGGACGCCGCCAUGGAUUUCCACCAGUACCCAACCACCACCACCGCUCUCGCAAGCUGGGUCUUCUCCUUCUCGUUCUCUGCUUGGGUUUUGGUCAGUCGUCCUCCAAUCCAAUCUGCUGAAACAGCAAGGCACCUGGAGACUGGAGAGGAACACGAGGCUGUGGAUUUUUUUUCUUUGAGAAACAGAGGCUGUGGGUUUUGA
rnacentral:rRNA from 1 species